rnacentral:rRNA from 1 species
GACGAACGCUGGCGGCGUGCUUAACACAUGCAAGUCGAACGCUGAAGCUUGGUGCUUGCACUGGGUGGAUGAGUGGCGAACGGGUGAGUAAUACGUGAGUAACCUGCCCUUGACUCUGGGAUAAGCCUGGGAAACUGGGUCUAAUACUGGAUAUGACAUGCCACUGCAUGGUGGUGUGUGGAAAGGGUUUUACUGGUUUUGGAUGGGCUCACGGCCUAUCAGCUUGUUGGUGGGGUAAUGGCCUACCAAGGCGACGACGGGUAGCCGGCCUGAGAGGGUGACCGGCCACAAUGGGACUGAGAAACGGCCCAGACUCCUACGGGAGGCAGCAGUGGGGAAUAUUGCACAAUGGGCGGAAGCCUGAUGCAGCGACGCCGCGUGAGGGAUGACGGCCUUCGGGUUGUAAACCUCUUUCAGCAAGGAAGAAGCGAGAGUGACGGUACGUGCAGAAGAAGCGCCGGCUAACUACGUG